AUGGCCUCUCCAACAUCGUCUACUCCCAUUCCCAUCUUCUUCAUACUCGCGCUACUGUCGGUCCUCUCAUCAUCUUCUCCCAGCCCGGCCAGCAGCUCCGGCGGCGACACCGACCUCGCCGCGCUGCUGGCUUUCAAAGCCCAGCUCGCCGACCCUCUUGGCAUCCUUGCCGGCAACUGGACCACCGGCACGUCCUUUUGUUACUGGGUCGGCGUCUCGUGCAGCCGGCGCAGGCAACGGGUCACCGCUCUGUCGUUGCCGGGCAUGCCGCUCGCUGGUUCCAUGACAACUCAUGUCGGUAACCUCUCUUUCCUCUCCGUCCUCAACCUCACAAACACCAAUCUCACUGGCGCCAUUCCACCCGAACUUGGCAGGCUACAUCGUCUAAAGUAUCUUCGCCUCAGUGGAAAUAGCUUGUCUAGCAUCAUACCUCCUACCCUGGGGAACCUAACGAGGCUGGAGUUCCUUGGUCUAGAUUUGAACCAACUCUCGGGCCAGAUCCCUCCUGAAUUGCUACUUCAUAUGCACAACCUUCGGAAAAUUAAUUUGUAUGGAAAUGACUUGAGUGGCGAAAUAUCUCCGUAUUUGUUCAACAACACGCCUUCAUUGUCAUACAUCAGUUUUGGCAAUAACAGCCUAUCGGGUCCUAUACCACACACCAUUGCGUCCCUACCCAUGCUUCAAGUCUUAAACCUACAGGUUAAUCAACUCUCCGGCCUAGUGCCGCAAGCCAUGUACAACAUGUCUAGGUUACAAAUUUUUGCACUUGCAGGAAACGGCAACCUGUCUGGAAUAUUUCCGACCAAUCAAACUUUUAGCCUCCCAAUGCUACAAUUUUUUUCACUAUUUCGUAACAACUUUACCGGUCGGUUUCCGUCGGGGCUUGCAUCAUGCCAGUACCUAAAAGUAAUAUCUUUGAGUAGAAAUUCCUUUGUGGAUGUCGUGCCAACAUGGUUAGCCAAAUUAUCACACCUUGAAGAGCUUUCCUUGGGUUUUAAUAACCUCAUAGGGUCAAUUCCAGCUAAUCUAGGCAAUCUCACCAGUCUUGCUGCAUUAGAACUAUCUAAUGGCAACUUGGAAGGGGAAAUUCCACGAGAAUUGGGUCUUAUGCAGAAACUAUCAUAUUUGCAUGUUGGAUACAACCAAUUCACAGGAAACAUUCCAGACUCCCUCUGGAAUUUGUCCGUAUUGUCUUACCUAAAUUUGGGAACUAAUCAAUUGUCCGGCCAAGGACCAAGUACACUUGAAUAUAAUGCAGAUUUGAACGUGCUUGAUUUGUCGGAUAACAAUUUAGAUGGGAAUUUAGACUUCUUGUUAGAUCUUUCCAAGUGCAGACAACUCCAAGGCAUUGACGUACAAGAAAAUUCUUUCACCGGCAUCCUUCCUGACCUUGUGGGAAACAUCACUUCACGUUUAGCCAUUUUCUCUGCAGGUUAUAAUAAGUUAACAGGUGGCCUUCCGGUAGCAAUUUCAAACAUAAGCAGUCUUGAAGUGAUAGAUCUUUCAAACAACCUAUUCACCGAGCCAAUUCCAGAGUCCAUUUCUAUGUUAGAAAAUCUUUUGUACCUUGAUCUCUCCCACAAUCACAUGUUAGGUCUGAUACCAACACAAAUAGGUAUGCUCGGGAGGGUUCAACAUUUAUUUCUCCAAGCAAACAAAUUCUCGGGCUGCAUACCAGGCAACUUUGGUAACCUUAGUUGGUUAGAAAACAUCAACUUGUCUAAUAACCAGCUAAGCUCAACAAUACCCACGAGCUUUUUCCACCUGAAUAAACUUAUCAAAUUGGAUAUUUCUCACAAUUCCUUUGUUGGUGCACUACCAUCCGAUAUUUCUAGUCUAAGACAAACAUAUCAAAUGGACAUCUCUUCAAACCUAUUGACAGGAAGCAUCCCAAGAUCACUUGGACAACUUAACAUGCUAACCUACCUAAAUCUAUCCCACAACUCAUUGGAAAACUCAAUUCCGGGCACAUUCGAAAAACUAAAAAGCUUAGCAUCAUUAGACCUCUCAUUUAACAAUCUCUCGGGUACCAUUCCCAAGUUUCUUGCAAACUUUACCUAUUUGACUAUCUUAAACCUUUCAUUCAACAGGCUAGAAGGCCAAAUACCCGAGGGAGGUAUUUUCUCAAACCUCACGGUACAAUCUUUGAUUGGCAAUGCUGGCCUAUGUGGUGCUCCGCGCCUCCGAUUUUCGCCUUGCCUUGGCAGAUCUCCCUCAACUGCUAUACACUUCCCACUAUUCCUACUCCCAACCCUCAUAUUAGCUGUGGUUGCCAUUGCCAUUUGUGUAUACCUAUGGCUUGAAAAGAAAAUUAAGAAGGAUGAGUGCAAUGCAUCUUUAAAUCCAACCAAUGUCAUGGGCCAUCAGAUAAUCUCUUAUCGGGAGCUCAUUCACGCCACCAAUAAUUUUGGUGAACAUAAUAUCCUCGGAUCAGGAAGCUUCGGAAAAGUCUAUAAGGGCUUAUUGAGCAACGGCUUGGUGGUCGCGAUAAAAGUUCUUGACAUGCAACUAGAGCAGGCCAUUCAAAGUUUUGACAUUGAGUGUCGCGUGCUUUGCGUGACGCGACACCGCAACCUGAUAAAGAUACUCAACACAUGUUCCACACAUGACUUCAAAGCACUAGUGCUUGAGUACAUGCCGAAUGGUAGCUUAGAGGCACUCCUACACUCCUCUCAAAGUACACUACACCUAGGAUUCCUUGAUAGACUUGGCAUCAUGCUCGAUGUGUCGAUGGCAAUUGAGUAUUUGCACCAUGAUCAUCAUGAGUUGAUCUUGCACUGUGACUUGAAACCUAGUAAUGUGUUGUUUGACGAGGAGAUGACUGCACAUGUGGCGGACUUUGGCAUUGCAAGGUUGCUUCUCGACGACAACUCAGUGAUAUCUGGGAGCAUGCCUGGAACAGUUGGAUACAUGGCACCAGAGUACGGAACACUUGGAAAAGCAUCGCGGAAGAGCGAUGUGUUCAGUUAUGGGAUCAUGCUCCUUGAAGUUUUCACCGGAAGAAGACCGACCGACGCUAUGUUCGAUGCACAGCUAACCCUUAGGCAGUGGGUUCAUCAAGCAUUUCAUGCAGAUCUUUUCCAGGUCGUCGAUGGCCACCUAGUGCAAGGUUCCUCUCUUUCGAACUGCAGCUUGGACAAUGGUUUUGUUGUGUCCUUGUUCGAGCUGGGUUUACUAUGUUCUAGCAACUCGCCUGACCAAAGGAUGACGAUGCGCGACGUGGUGGUGACGCUGAAGAAGAUCAAAGCUGAGUUCACUGGGCGAACAUCCAAGACAUCAUGUAGUGCAACACAGUGA
rnacentral:rRNA from 1 species